CCUCGGUUGCUCUCUCCGCUUGGGCUUGGAGGGCUGAAGGUGUCGGCGGACAAGUAAGGGCUGGGGCUACGGGAGAGACUCCUGGGCGAAGUUCUCCCAAGUCAAAUGAUCUGCUGGAGUUGAAGAAUACAGCUCGAAAAAGUGUCGAUGGGAUUGACAUUGAGGAGUCUUGACAAGACUUGCUUGUCCCGUCGCUUCGAGGAAUCCUUGCAUACCUGAGGCAUCUUUGUUUGUUUUUUUUAAGUACUGUAAUUAUCCUGUCAAGUCGGGUCAUCCUCAAGACUCUUGAAGAACUUCCUCAAAUCGGGAUCGUCUGCCUGAUGCGCUAAUCCAACUCCAAGCAGGUCCUCAACAGCCACUCCGUCUCGCCACAGCCGCCCCGUCCCGCCGCAUCCAUCGACAUGAUCAUCAGGCUGGGACGGCUGACGCCAGGAUACUUUCGCCUGCUCCAGAGGCAAGUGGCGGGCGAAGUGCAGACGCAGCCGCAGGACCGUGCCAUCAAUCAGAUUGCCAUGAUGUUGGCCAUCAUGGGUCUCAGCUUGUCCUACUACAGUGCCAAGCAGAUGACGGAGAAGGUGCAGGCCCACCCGGUGCCCUGAAGCGUAGACUGAUGGCUGGGAUGGAAAGUGAAGAUGAAGUCAUGGCGAUGUUAUUGUGGUUUUUAGUUUUCGGCAAUCAGACCGUAAGGGGGUGACGCUUCUGAUCGCAGUUGGAAGAUGAUGUGCGGCCAUUAGGCGUUGCAAAGGUGCAUGCAAACAUGGUCAAGACACGACGGUGGGCGAAAUAUUUUGUCAUUUACUACUUGAAUUCUCAACGUGGAUCUCCACGUGGGACGACUUGGGAGAUUCUGUGAAUAUUUUGCACAAUCAUGUAGAAACUGUUUGUUUUUAAGCAAAAACAUGUCUCAUAAAUCACUACCUAUUUUAUUUGGGGGGGGAGGGGGCAAUCAUCUUGUGACACUCAGCAUCUUAUCAAUGUCUUGUAUACUAUAUGCACACCACACUGAGCCGAUGUGUGGAUUUUUAUGACUUUUUUUUUUUUUUAUUGAUGUCUGGCGAAAUGUCACUUUAUUUUGUAGUUAUUUAAUAAAGCUGUGAAUCCUUUUUUGCGCCGAUUGUC